rnacentral:rRNA from 1 species
UACGGAGGGUGCAAGCGUUAUCCGGAAUCACUGGGUUUAAAGGGUGCUUAGGCGGCUAGAUAAGUCAGAGGUGAAAGUUUGUCGCUUAACGAUAGAACUGCCUUUGAUACUGUUAAGCUUGAAAGUAGGUGAGGUUGGCGGAAUGUGACAUGUAGCGGUGAAAUGCAUAGAUAUGUCAUAGAACACUGAUUGCGAAGGCAGCCGGCGAACCUGACUUUGACGCUGAGGCACGAAAGCGUGGGUAGCGAACAGG